rnacentral:rRNA from 1 species
AGGGAAUAGAUACCCGGGUAGUCCACGCCCUAAACGAUGUCGACUGGUUGUUGGGGGUUUGACACUCUCAGUAAACGAAAGCUAAACGCGUGAAAGUCGACCGCCUGGGGAGUACGGCCGCAAGGUUAAAACUCAAAGGAAUUGACGGGGACCCGCACAAGCGGUGGAUUAUGUGGAUUAAUUCGAUGCAACGCGAAAAACCUUACCUACCCUUGACAUGUCCGGGAGCCUGCUGAGAGGCGGGUGUGCUCGAAAGAGAACCGGAACACAGGUGCUGCAUGGCUGUCGUCAGCUCGUGUCGUGAGAUGUUGGGUUAAGUCCCGCAACGAGCGCAACCCUUGCCAUUAGUUGCCACCCGUAAGGGGGCACUCUAAUGGGACUGCCGGUGACAAACCGGAGGAAGGUGGGGAUGACGUCAAGUCCUCAUGGCCCUUAUGGGUAGGGCUUCACACGUAAUACAAUGGCGCGUACAGAGGGUUGCCAAGGAGCGAUCUGGAGCCAAUCCCGUAAAGCGCGUCGUAGUCCGGAUUGCAGUCUGCAACUCGACUGC